rnacentral:rRNA from 1 species
UACGUAGGGUCCGAGCGUUGUCCGGAAUUACUGGGCGUAAAGCGCGCGUAGGCGGACCUGCAAGUCGGGGGGUGAAAGCCCGAGGCUCAACCUCGGAACUGCCUUCGAUACUGCGGGUCUCGAGUCCGGGAGAGGUGAGUGGAAUUCCUAGUGUAGAGGUGAAAUUCGUAGAUAUUAGGAAGAACACCAGUGGCGAAGGCGGCUCACUGGCCCGGUACUGACGCUGAGGCGCGAAAGCGUGGGGAGCAAACAGG